CACAAUCUUCUCAUAGUCAACAUUUGCUUUGGUGUUGAUCUCACCAAAAACCAUUAACAUGUUGGUCUUGGUGCAAG